CAGUAGCCGCGGUAAAACGUAGGGUCCGAGCGUUGUCCGGAAUUAUUGGGCGUAAAGAGCUCGUAGGCGGUCUGUCGCGUCUGCCGUGAAAUCCUCAGGCUCAACCUGAGGCGUGCGGUGGGUACGGGCAGGCUAGAGUGCGGUAGGGGAGAAUGGAACUCCUGGUGUAGCGGUGGAAUGCGCAGAUAUCAGGAAGAACACCGAUGGCGAAGGCAGUUCUCUGGGCCGUAACUGACGCUGAGGAGCGAAAGCGUGGGGAGCGAACAGGAUUAGAUACCCGCGUAGUCCCUGUCUCUUAUAC
rnacentral:rRNA from 1 species